rnacentral:piRNA from 1 species
AGGCUAACAAAGGACGUCAGAACAAC